rnacentral:rRNA from 1 species
GAUGAACGCUGGCGGCGUGCCUAACACAUGCAAGUCGAGCGAUUCUCCUCGGAGAAGAGCGGCGGACGGGUGAGUAACGCGUGGGUAACCUGCCCUGUACACACGGAUAACAUACCGAAAGGUAUGCUAAUACGAGAUAAUAUGCUUUUAUCGCAUGGUAGAAGUAUCAAAGCUUUUGCGGUACAGGAUGGACCCGCGUCUGAUUAGCUAGUUGGUAAGGUAACGGCUUACCAAGGCGACGAUCAGUAGCCGACCUGAGAGGGUGAUCGGCCACAUUGGAACUGAGACACGGUCCAAACUCCUACGGGAGGCAGCAGUGGGGAAUAUUGCACAAUGGGCGAAAGCCUGAUGCAGCAACGCCGCGUGAGCGAUGAAGGCCUCGGUCGUAAGACUCUGUCUCAAGAAGGAAUAAUAGACGGUAACGUUGUAGGAGGAAAGGACCCCGGCCGUAACCUAACGUAGCCACGCAGCCGCGGUAAGUAGUAACUACUAU